GGGCGUGUAACUCAGUGGUAGAGUGCUCGCUUUGCACUAUUCGUGAAAUAUGCGAGAAGCCCAGGGUUCGACUCCCUGCUCGUCCA
rnacentral:tRNA from 1 species